ACAACGGAGAGUUUGAUCCUGGCUCAGGACGAACGCUGGCGGCGUGCCUAACACAUGCAAGUCAACUUGAGGGAAGGAGCAAUCUGACCUGAUGGUGGCGCAAGGGUGCGUAACGCGUAAGUAACUUGCCCCAAGGUAAGGAAUAACGUCGAGAAAUCGGCGCUAAUACCUCAUAAUGCAGCGGAUCCGCAUGGAUAUGUUGUUAAAGGUUUACCGCCUUGGGAUAGGCUUGCGUCUGAUUAGCUAGUUGGUGAGGUAAUGGCUCACCAAGGCUACGAUCAGUAGCUGGUCUGAGAGGAUGAUCAGUCACACUGGAACUGAGACACGGUCCAGACUCCUACGGGAGGCAGCAGUGAGGAAUAUUGGGCAAUGCACGAAAGUGUGACCCAGCAACGCCGCGUGGAGGAUGAAGGUAUUCUAUAUCGUAAACUCCUGUGAGAGCAGACGAAAGACAGAUUAUUAAUUUGGAUGACUGUAUGCUCAGAGGAAGCCCCGGCUAACUACGUGCCAGCAGCCGCGGUAAUACGUAGGGGGCAAGCGUUGUCCGGAUUCACUGGGUGUAAAGGGCGCGUAGGCGGUAUAGCAAGUCAGUGGUGAAAUCUUGCAGCUCAACUGCAAAACUGCCAUUGAUACUGCUGUACUUGAGUGUGGAAGAGAGAGGCGGAAUUCCAGGUGUAGUGGUGAAAUACGUAGAUAUCUGGAAGAACACCAAUUGCGAAGGCUGCUUCUUGGUCCAUAACUGACGCUGAGGCGCGAAAGCGUGGGGAGCAAACAGGAUUAGAUACCCUGGUAGUCCACGCUGUAAACGAUGAGUGCUAGAUGCCGGAUUUUUUCGGUGUCGCAGCUAACGCAUUAAGCACUCCACCUGGGAAGUACGAUCGCAAGGUUGAAACUCAAAGGAAUUGACGGGGGCCCGCACAAGCAGUGGAGCAUGUGGUUUAAUUCGAUGCAACGCGAAGAACCUUACCUAGGCUUGAAAGGCUUAUGACCGGCUGUGAAAGCAGCUUUCCCGCAAGGGCAUAAGUACAGGUGCUGCAUGGCUGUCGUCAGCUCGUGCCGUGAGGUGUUGGGUUAAGUCCCGCAACGAGCGCAACCCUUACCAUUAGUUGCCACCGGAGCAAUCCGAGCACUCUAAUGGAACUGCCUACGCAAGUAGUGAGGAAGGUGAGGAUGACGUCAAGUCCGCAUGGCCCUUACGCCUAGGGCUACACACGUGCUACAAUGGCCGCCACAACGGGCUGCAAAAUCGCAAGAUGGAGCCAAUCCCUAAAAAGCGGCCUCAGUUCGGAUUGGAGUCUGCAACUCGACUCCAUGAAGUUGGAAUUGCUAGUAAUCGCGCAUCAGCAUGGCGCGGUGAAUACGUUCCCGGGCCUUGUACACACCGCCCGUCAAGCCAUGGAAGCCGGGGGUACCCAAAGACAGUGACUCAACCGCAAGGAGAGAGCUGUUUAAGGUAAAACUGGUGACUGGGGCUAAGUCGUAACAAGGUAGCCGUACCGGAAGGUGCGGCUGGAUCACCUCCUUU
rnacentral:rRNA from 1 species